rnacentral:rRNA from 1 species
CAGUCGCCGCGGUAAUACGUAGGUCCCGAGCGUUGUCCGGAUUUAUUGGGCGUAAAGCGAGCGCAGGCGGUUAGAUAAGUCUGAAGUUAAAGGCUGUGGCUUAACCAUAGUACGCUUUGGAAACUGUUUAACUUGAGUGCAGAAGGGGAGAGUGGAAUUCCAUGUGUAGCGGUGAAAUGCGUAGAUAUAUGGAGGAACACCGGUGGCGAAAGCGGCUCUCUGGUCUGUAACUGACGCUGAGGCUCGAAAGCGUGGGGAGCAAACAGGAUUAGAUACCCGAGUAGUCCCUGUCUCUUAUACA